UGGGGAAUAUCGGGCAAUGGGCGAAAGCCUGACCCAGCAACGCCGCGUGAGGGAAGAAGGGUUUUCGGCUCGUAAACCUCUGUCCUAUGGGACGAAGGAAGUGACGGUACCAUAGGAGGAAGCCCCGGCUAACUACGUGCCAGCAGCCGCGGUAAUACGUAGGGGGCGAGCGUUGUCCGGAAUGAUUGGGCGUAAAGGGCGCGUAGGCGGCCUGAUAAGUCUGGAGUGAAAGUCCUGCUUUCAAGGUGGGAAUUGCUUUGGAUACUGUCGGGCUUGAGUGCAGGAGAGGAAAGCGGAAUUACCGGUGUAGCGGUGAAAUGCGUAGAGAUCGGUAGGAACACCAGUGGCGAAGGCGGCUUUCUGGACUGAAACUGACGCUGAGGCGCG
rnacentral:rRNA from 1 species